GUCCGUUACAGCGGCUCCUCCUCCUCCAUCGGCUCCUCCUCGGGCCUGACAGGAAAUAAAACAUCACCGCUUAACGUUUAUUCGUCACACAUGUUGCACCGCAGAUAAUCUUCUGAACAUCAAAACCUGUAGACCAGUUUGAAAGGUUUUACCUCUGAUCCAUGGUGUUGGUGUUGGCCACGGACAGCGAGGCCAUGGCGCUGACGGCCUCGGCCUCCUCCGAGUCUCCUCGUUUGGCCUCGAGCAGAGAGAGUCCGAGCCGAGAGAGCGAACAGCGUUGGGGUUGGGCCUCUGCUCCAGGACGGCCUUCGGCAGCGGGUCCAGCUGCAUGGGGCACAAAAACAGCGAAAAUGUCAACACGAGCUGCAUUUGAAAUAUUUUCCACCAGAGGUCAGGCUCAGUGGAACUCAGAGCUUCAUCUCGCACCUUGUUUGGUUUCUCAGGCCCUGAAUGGAAGAUGCUGUGACUUUUGUCUUUUAUUCCCACAAAGUGAGCAGUAAACAAAACUAAUGGGUAAACAUAAAAGCACAACUGAGUAGUUCCUUAUUCCUCCACACAAAUGCACACUUAAAUCAGCAUAUUUUCCAAAACUACACUUUUUAUACCUCUUACAUAUCCUGAGGGUACAACAUUACUAUAUUACUCUGUAUUCAAGAUGUGCUUAAAUAUUUAGCUACUGAUGCGUUCUUGGUACUUUUGCCACCAAAUAAUUACAUUUAAUACAUUUACUAUAGUACAACAGGAGUUUUGGACCAGUUUUUAUAAUACAACAUUUUCCAGUCUUGUAGUGUAACUGAGAUGAGAGAAGAGAACAAAACCCUUCAGUGUUAAGUCACUACGAUGCAUGUUGGACAUAUCCAGGCCCAACAAAAACUAAACCUCAGUAUGGUGGUUUUCAAUGUUCUUUGCACAGUAAGUUAAACUUAUUUUUUUAACCAUAUUGUACUGAAGUACAUUUAAUCUGACACUGUCUCAUAAUGCAGGAUAUCGCUUUCAUUUUUGGUCAAAGUGCAACUAACAUUACUGAUUAAAUAUUCACUGUAAUAAAUACCAAUAGAUAACUAAUGCUCUAAUCAGUGUUCUAUCAGCUGCAGUACCAGGAUGUAAACGGACCAAACAUAUUUAUGUGAUUUCUGCAUUAUCCAUGAAAUACACUUCAGGUUUCAAUGGCAACGCGAUGCAUACAGUGUGUGACACUGUAACCGCUUCAUUCAGCGGUUUUAGAAAUGUACAGAUCAACGUGUUCACAGACGAAAUAUCAGCUGAGAAUCUGAAUCACUCAUAAAGAAUCAUCAGGAAAUGUUUUGGUAAAAGGGAGACGCUUCUUACGACCGAUUUAAAUCUGAACUCCUAACAGAACCUGCUCCUGACCAAAAUAGCUCCACAUCAGCUACCAUGGCGAUCUACCUCCACAGCAUCAGUUACCAUGGAGAUCGAGCUCCACAGCAUCAGUUACCAUGGAGAUCUAGCUCCACGGCAUCAGUUACCAUGGAGACCUAGCUCCACGGCAUCAGUUACCAUGGAGACCUAGCUCCACGGCAUCAGUUACCAUGGAGACCUAGCUCCACGGCAUCAGUUACCAUGGAGAUCUAGCUCCACAGCAUCAGUUACCAUGGAGAUCUAGCUCCACAGCAUCAGUUAUCAUGGAGACCUAGCUCCACAGCAUCAGUUACCAUGGAGAUCUAGCUCCACAGCAUCAGUUACCAUGGAGAUCUAGCUCCACAGCAUCAGCUACCAUGGAGAUCUAGCUCCACAGCAUCAGUUACCAUGGAGAUCUAGCUCUGACAAAUUCCACCACUGCCUCUGUAUAUUACGAUAUAUACAUGAAGACAAGCAGUAAAAUCAGGACAGCUUUGUUCUAUGUAGUUCAAUUGCUGCAACAGUAGAUAAACAUGAGAUUAAAAUAAAUACUGAGUAACAGAGGCAGGAAUGAAGGGUUUGUGUGCUUCAACGUCCAGCUUUACAACCAGAGCAGCAUGCCCUCCUUCGUCUUUUAAUAAGAUUCAGAUCUCGUCUGUGGGUAAAGCGACCUCCUUACCUCCUGGCCCAGCAGGGCGGCCACACAGGCCUCCGAGGCGUCGCAGAUGGCGGUGAGGUCGUGACCCCCCUCCAGAGCCAGGACCACCCGGCCUCCAGCAAGGGUCAUCAGCUGCCUGGUCAGAUACCCGAAACCUGAGGAGACGUUACAGGACGGAGGUGAAUGAAUGUAAAUGAAUCCGCAGAACGCCACAGAGGUUCACUCUAAUUUACAUUUUAGCAGAUGUGUUUCAGUGUCUGCUCUAAGAGUGAGAGAUAAAAAAAACACGCCUCAGAUACUCACAUUUGGAUGUCAGGGUGUAGCCGCCCAGCGGAGGAGGAUGUCCCUCUACAGCAUCGAAGCCUGAGGAGACCAGCACGAUGUCUGGGGCAAACUCAUUGGCGAUGGGCAUCACCACCGUCCUGCAGGAGGCGAGAAGGAGAGUGGAGGUUGUACAGCCAGAAUACCAAUGAAGACUAAACUCAACACAGAACAAAGAUGCUAACUAUUGAUUUUACGCAAGUGGCACCUUUGGAGCAAAAUUCCUCGAUGCGACUCCUGUAUUGUGGCUAAUAACAGUAAUUAUAAUAAUACGUCUUCUCAGUUAUCGUUACUGUUUUUCAGGAUCAUGAAUAGAAUAUAUUUGAGUUUUAAAAGGUUAUUUUAUUGACCUAAAGCCUAAUCAAUGAAGAAAAAUGACAGUAAUGAUUAGCUGCAGCCAAACAAACAACAAAACUGUGAUCUACUUGGAUUUCAGUAUAAAAGUAUUAUAUAAGUAACUAUAACGGAGCAGAGCUGUAGACAAAUGGGAAUGACUGUGGGUCAAACUUACGUUUUUAAUGGCAGCUAAUAUAACAUCCAUUUUCAUUUUGGCUCCUGAUGGUGAUUUAGCUUCAGUCUUUUGAGGAAAAUGUCUGUUUAUAUUAGUCAAAAUUUUUGAUUUAUGUUAGUUUUCGUCUGCAACAUUUCAGUUUUGCAAUUUUUAAAGAUUUUCGUUGUGAAAAAUAAGUUGCCACCAAAGAUUUUUCAUUUUAGUUUUCAUGACAAAAUUAACAAUGAUCCAAAACAUUCCAUACUUUAUUUGAAGAAUAUCAGUUUGCGCUUUUAAACAAAAGAUUUUAAGCUCCAACUGAACAAACCGAACAAACUAAGAAGGUUCUUCUGUUCCUGUGUGGACUGAAGGAAGAGCAUAAACAGCUGAACUGGACACUUCAUGUCUAAUAGCAGUGUUUGUUUUGUAGGUUGGUUGAUAAUGACGUGGAAUCAAAUCAGAUCUGGUACCUGAAGGCAGCCAGGUACUCUACGUCUCCCAUGGGUGGGUCGAGGCCUCCAGUGAAGGCAACGUUGACGUUGAAGCCGACUCCAGCACCACUGCCAACCUGCAGGGACAAGCUUGGAACUCACUUUUGUAUUUACAGCACAAACACAAACAACAAAAAACAAUUCAAGUCUGCUGGCUUUUAGCAGCAAUUGUAACUGUCAUUGUGCACAAAAGUAUUUUUUGAGUUCUCUCCACUUCCAGGCAUGCCAGUGCUGUCUCUAUUAAGAUGCUGCUGUGAAUAACGGGCCCACAGUGAGUAAAAAUGUGACAGCAGCAAAAAACUGCUACUGGUUAAAUAAAAAUAUUUGUAUCUAAAACAUACAGACCACACAAGGAUUGAUGUGCUUUACUUGGGUUUGUACUGCAAAAAGGAAAUAUUUAAAUUGUUCUGUCCUUGUGUGCAGAAAUUUAACCAGCAUCAUCUAUUAAAAAAAGUUAUUAUUUGCUGUG